ACAAGACCUAUCCUAGAGGGGAUCUGACGCUGAGUUCAGUUUGGGACAAGUCAUUUGGAGGCCCCUCUGACAGACGGUGGAAUGCAGAGGCAAGAUGGGCGCACUACCUGAAGUGACCACAAGAUGGCAGCAUAGACCGGGCUUCGGGACAGAGGCGAUGCCCCAAGUUCCCCCAUCUUCCCAGGGGCCAAAGUCCUAACAGCCUCCUUGCAGUUCCCCCGAAGGUUGCACAAAUGAUGGGACAUUUACCACAUUGUAUCCCUUCCUGGAAUUCGUUAUCGCCUGAAUUACAGGCAAGGUGAGGUUCAUGGGCUCCCAGAGGGCCCCGCACCGUCUCAAGGCCCACUUAUCUCCUUAUUGAGGCAGAAGGAGCCCCAC